rnacentral:rRNA from 1 species
UACGUAGGGGGCAAGCGUUGUCCGGAUUUAUUGGGCGUAAAGAGCGUGUAGGCGGCCAGGUAGGUGGGUUGUGAAAACUGGAGGCUCAACCUUCAGACGUCGACCCAAACCCCUGGCUAGAGUCCGGAAGAGGAGAGUGGAAUUCCUGGUGUAGCGGUGAAAAUGCGCAGAUAUCGGGAGGAACACCUAUGGCGAAGGCAGCUCGCUGGGACGUUACUGACGCUGAGACGCGAAGCGUGGGGAGCAAACAGG